GUGUAUUUGGCUAUAACAGGGGAAAUGGGCAGCAGGCCCCAACCCUAAUCAAAAAACUAUUGGCAUCUGAUUACUGCUGGGUGAGGGAGAGUUUAUCUUCCUUAAGGAAGAAGCUCUAGAUAAGCUAAGUAGAGCCCAGUGAAUGAAGUUGCACCAAGGGACAUCUGAGUACACAAACUUGACUUGAUGGUCCUUAACAUAUGUGACAUAAUGCAUGAAAUCUAGUGGGAGGCUAUUUGGGGAUGUGAGAGGAUGUGUAAAUAUGAUUAAGAUGUUUUGUAUGAAGUGCAGAAAAAUUCGAUAAAUAAUAUACAUUGGAAAAAUAUAAAUUCUAAAGUAUCUCUCUGGACACAAUGUGAAAAACUGGCUGGAGGAUAGCGUGAGUGUCAUCAGGAGAUGUCUCUGUCUUGUUGUCUCCCUGCUGCAGAGCCCACCUAAGGAAGACCUCCAGAGAAUGAUGUAUGCCCAGGUAAAACCCUCCAGGCUCAGGAAGGCAGUGGCCACCGCUUCAUCCCCACUAUUUCAGGGAAAUAUUGGACAUGAAGAACAGUCAGGACAGGACAAAGAGACUUACCUGCAGGCUGCUGUAUUCAAGGAGUCCCAGGAUACGACCUAUGCCCAGCUGUGCAGUAUGACACUCAAACAGGAGACAAGCUAAGACCAGCGAUCACUCUGCUCUGGUGCCCACCAGCAAAGGGAGAAGACCCAGACUCCACAGUUCAUGAAGGAAGACACGGGGCCACCUGAGCACACAGGCUCUGCCCCAACUGAGAUCUGGCUAAUGAACCCCAGCCAUCUUGCAGACCUCUUGUGUCAUCAGGAGAUCUUUGAAACCGAUGACUCUUUUGAUUAUGCAAUCAGAGAUAACUAGUGUCCCUACAUUUUGUAAAUAAAGCAAAAAUCCUUUUCAAUAAUCAAUGAAUGAAAUGAGAAGAAAACUGAGACUGUUUUGAAUUGAACGAUAAUGUAACCAUGGUACACUAAACUAUGGAACUGGAAAAAUCAGAACCAUGAAUAAAUACAUAAGAAGAUGAAAUGCCUUCACAAUCAAUGGUCUUUUCUAUGGACAA
rnacentral:lncRNA from 1 species